rnacentral:rRNA from 1 species
GCAAGUCGAGCGAAUGGAUUAAGAGCUUGCUCUUAUGAAGUUAGCGGCGGACGGGUGAGUAACACGUGGGUAACCUGCCCAUAAGACUGGGAUAACUCCGGGAAACCGGGGCUAAUACCGGAUAACAUUUUGAACCGCAUGGUUCGAAAUUGAAAGGCGGCUUCGGCUGUCACUUAUGGAUGGACCCGCGUCGCAUUAGCUAGUUGGUGAGGUAACGGCUCACCAAGGCAACGAUGCGUAGCCGACCUGAGAGGGUGAUCGGCCACACUGGGACUGAGACACGGCCCAGACUCCUACGGGAGGCAGCAGUAGGGAAUCUUCCGCAAUGGACGAAAGUCUGACGGAGCAACGCCGCGUGAGUGAUGAAGGCUUUCGGGUCGUAAAACUCUGUUGUUAGGGAAGAACAAGUGCUAGUUGAAUAAGCUGGCACCUUGACGGUACCUAACCAGAAAGCCACGGCUAACUACGUGCCAGCAGCCGCGGUAAUACGUAGGUGGCAAGCGUUAUCCGGAAUUAUUGGGCGUAAAGCGCGCGCAGGUGGUUUCUUAAGUCUGAUGUGAAAGCCCACGGCUCAACCGUGGAGGGUCAUUGGAAACUGGGAGACUUGAGUGCAGAAGAGGAAAGUGGAAUUCCAUGUGUAGCGGUGAAAUGCGUAGAGAUAUGGAGGAACACCAGUGGCGAAGGCGACUUUCUGGUCUGUAACUGACACUGAGGCGCGAAAGCGUGGGGAGCAAACAGGAUU